UCCCCAUCUUCAUUUAAUCCUAACAACAACCCUGUGAGGUAGGUUAGGCUGAGAGGCAGUGAUUGGUCCAGGGUCAUUAAUCACUGUAUCAGAUCUACAAGUAGCCAUAUUACUGCAUCAAAAUGCCAAGCAGCUCCAGCUCCCCAACCCCUUAUUCAUACCCUUUUGUGUGUAUGUGUUUAUCACUUGUAGCCAGGGCAGUCCUGACUCUCAUUUCAUUCUGAAGACAUUUUUGUAAAUAGAAAAUGGGCUUGUGAAGCUCAAUAAACAUUUCUGGAUAGCCAGGGUCCAGUUCGGCCCUGCCUUGAGCUAUGAAGCUAAAAUAAACACAACUAAACUUACAUAGCCAUGUUUGAUUUUCCGUGACUCAAAUCUCAAUUUAAAAACGCAUCGCAAAGCAAGAUCACUGCGGCAGCAUGUACCGAAUAGCAUAAAAGCUGUCAAUGUUAUAAGGCUCAAAUCAUAAAAUGAGCUUAGUGUUUUUGGGUUAGGAAAUCGCACAAUAGUUUGGGGUAUGAUCUGGCAUUUUGGGCCCAGAGCUUAAAACAUGUCUUAAAGUUUGGUUAGCAUAUGCUGUUCUGUGAAGAGACAACCCAAAUUUGGUUGCCACGUUCCCUUUGCCCAGGAUCCAGAUAAUAUGUGCAGAGGAGGAAGAAUCACUCAUGCCUUAAUUUGUAUAUUGGCAGUGCUGAUAUACAAAUCUCACUGCCGACAGAGAGAAACUGGCAUACAGUAUAAAUAGCAAUUUGUAUUUUCCAAGGUAAAAAACCUGCUGCUCUAGCAACAAUAAAGAAAACGCCAGCUUCUGGUUCUGUUCCCUCCCACAUUCACAUAUAGAUUUUUUUAAAAAUAAAAAAAUAUGGAUCUAGUGUUGACAGAUUGAAAUGGAAUAAAUGAAGGAGCUGGAAGAGCUAAUGAAGAACCCUUGAAAAAAAAAUGAGAUGCUUGAGACUUGCUUGAUAGUCUGUCACUCAAGGGCACUAUGGUCAUUUAACAGGAAUAAAGGAGGCUGCCUUAUACCAUGGCAGAUCAUAGGCCCACCUAGCUUAGCACUGUCUGCACUGACUGGCAGCCUCUCUUCCAGGAUUUCCAACAGGGGUGUCUCCCAGUCUUGCCUGGAGGUCCUAGGGAUUGAAGCUUGGGGCUUCUGCAUUUAAGCAGCUGUGUCAUUAUCAUCAAUCCCUUCCUGACAGGAUGCAAAAAAAUAAAGGGAUGUGGUCAGAAAGUGACCACAUAUGCAUGUGCCUCUUUGUAAGCAGAGGCUAUUCAGGUGUUAUUAUGAAACGUGUGUUUUGCAAAGCACCUCAGACAUCCUCUGCAUGCUGUGCACUUGAUAUUCACAUGUGGCCAUUCUGACAUUUUGAUCCAUUCCCCAGCUGCUCCCUCCAGAUGCCUUGAGGCAGUUUUGGGAUGGAUGAGGGCAAAGAAGCUGGAUCAUAAUCCAGACAAGGUGAAGGCACUGGGGGUAGGAAAACUGGCUGAUCUGGUUGGAAACCUUUGGAUGAGGCUGUAGCCCCCCAAUGGGAGUUGUAGUCCACCACCACCUGGUGGUGGCAAACGGUGCUUCUCGUCGAACUGUACCAUGAAUAAUAAUAACAACAAUAAUAGUAAUAGUAAUAAUAUUUUAUUAUUUGUAUCCUGCCCAUCUAACUGGGUUGCCACAGCUACUCUGGGUGGCUUCCAACACAUAUAAAAACAUAAUAAAACAGUAAACAUUUUUUUUCAAAAAACUUCCACUGUCUUCUGAAGGUUGUAUAGUUUCUUAACUCCUUGGCAUAUGACAGGAGGGCAUUCCACAGGGAGGGUGCCACCACUGAGAAGGCUCUGUGCCUGGUUCCCUGUAACUUCCCUUCUUGCCAUGAGGGAACAGCCAGAAGGCCCUUGGAACUGGACCUCAGUGUCUGGGCUGAAUGAUGAGGUUGGAGAUGCUCCUUCAGGUAUGCAUGGCCAAAAGCCAGUUAGGGCUUUAAAGGUCAGCACCAACACUUUGAAUUGUGCUUGGAAAUGUACUGGGAGCCGAUGUAGGUCUUUCAGGACUGGUGUCAUAUGGUCCUGAAAUCGUUAUAUUGCUUUUAUACUUGUUUGACUGCCAUGUGUGGGGAACUCCUGAUACUAUUAGUCUACAGUUCUCAUCAGACCUGGUCAUUGGCCAUACUGGCUGAUUCUCCCCAAGAUUCCUUGGGGAGAGGGAAUUCCUGUGAAACCAGUUUAAAUCUUUAGAGAUUUACUUUCUUAGCCACCAUUCCAUCUUCAUCAUAUUAUUGUCACCUAGCCAAGAACACUCUCCCAGCAAUGCCGUCAGCAAUUGCAACAGCAUCAAGCAUGUCACAAUUUCCAAACACCACACUCUUAUGCACUCUGUCCUAGAAAAGUCUUCUUCAUUUAUGGACAUCACCUCAUGAGAUGCCAUAAAUAUUUCCAUUUAUGGCUCAGAUAUUACCUUGUCCCUGUUCACAAACUCCUGGCUUCCAAAACAGCCAGCAAUGUUUGCUUUAUUCUGCAGUGUGGAAAGAUACAUAACCAGUACGUAGGAAUAUGUACCUUCAGUAUUUAAAACAAAACCAACAUAGCAUCUGUGCUGAAAUCUCCCCCUGUUCCUCCCCACACAUCACCCUCUUUUGUAACAGAGAGCAAAAAUAUCCUUUGCUUACCUAGUAAGUAGGUCACGACUGGACCUAAUGGUCAGGGGUCCCUUUACCUUUACCUAGUAAGAGGCUAGCAACAAGGCUUGAGGCACUAAGUGUGAUGGGAAACCUGUGAUUUUUCAGGUGUUGCUGGAGAUGAUGGAGCCAUAAUCCCUGACCAUUGUCUAUACUUGCUGGGGCAGAUGGGUGUUGGAGGCCAACAACAGCUGGAGGACCACAGGUACUGCACUGCUGCACUAAAUCAAGAGGAAUGUGUUGAUUCCAGCCCCACAUCCAUGGCCCAGUUAAUGCAAUGGCUGCAUAAUAAUUUCAGCUACGUCUCUCCUGAAACCUGGAACAUUUUAAGUUACACAUGUCUGUGUUUUGCUAAUUUUCCUCUGCUGACCUCACGACUAGAAAAAAAAGGUGCUGUUGUUGUUGUUGUUUUAAAAAAGGAUGCUUACAUCACCAUAUAGCAAAUAAAGACCACCAUUUGGAUGACACACAGGCAGCAUUCUGCACUGAUUAAUGGAGUACUCGUAAAAUAUACAACACACCAUUGCUUACAUUUCUGAAAAUGAAUAGUGGAAGUUUGAAAUCUGCCUGAGAAGUUUUACAGUCCAUCGUUAUAAUCUUAGAUCUUAAGCAUGCUUGUAUUUAGCAGCUCAGUGGUCAUAGAGAUACAUGCUGGGUUUUAAAAAUAAACCAACAAAUCAUGUAUUUUACAAAGAGACACCAACCUUUUUUAUGAUCCUGUGCCUGUAACAGCACUGCAAAAAAAAAAAGCAUCGCCAAAAAAGGAAGUCACCGAUUUGCAUAAGUUUCUCGAUGUGCUAAUUUCUAUGUAUCUGUGCAAAUUUAGAAAUAAUGUUGGUAAUUUAAAUAGAAAUGCAAUACCUAUCCCUGUAGUAGUGAAGAUCAUGACCAAAGAAGCUGACAGGAAGUAUGAGCCAACAGGGAGCCUGGACUCUGAGCUUUCGUAUUUUUAAAAAGCAGGUCAGCUGGACAAUCAGACAUCAAACGAACAAAGCAAAACAUGGAGGCAGCAUUCUAAGGCAGAUACAGAGAAGCGACUCUUGAUAAGGAUGCUUAAUCACUGUUGCUAAGCAAUCAGAGGGAGGAAUGCUGAUCACCCUGCCUGGCUUUCGGGGAUGCAGGGUGGCCUCCCAGCACAGCAGAAGAAACAGGAGAAGCUCCUUGUUGCUGCUGAUAGCCUGACACUGAAUGGAGGAGGAGUCUGCCUGUGCACUGGAGUGUGUUAGUUUAAGCAGCUCCCUCCAUGUCCACACUACAUAUAUCAUUCACUCCACAAGUGUGCAGUAUAAAACACAAUUGGCCGGCUUUGGUAUGUCCUACUCAGAAGCCAGGCAAUUUCAUAACUCGCUAACCAGUUAUGCCUUAACAAAGAUAAUCUAAUCACAAGGGUGGAGUUUAUACAUGGAUUGCAGGAGGCGAAGGAGGAAGUGUCUGGGUUUCCAUUGGUCACCAGAUGAUUAGGCAAUUGGCCAGCCCAAUACAUUCUUGCUGGCUGACCAAAGAAAUCCACCGCCCCAGUCAAGGCACAUAGUAUAGCACCCAAAGUUAGGUGAAGUCAUUCUGGUGCCUGAGGCAGAAAAUCCCGUAAGCAGCAGCAAUACUAUAGUAAUAUAAUGAACCAACAAUAUUUUUGCUGCCCUUUUAUGACACUCCAGAUCAGCAGCCUGAGGUGGCUGGCUCACACUGCCAAAUGGCCAAAAGACUUAUCCCUGAAGCACUCCCUCUUUCCUGAUCAGUAAUGAAUGGCUUCUCUGGCAUGGUUCCUGCCAGCUCACACCAAUGGGUGAUCCUUUGCACCAGCAGCUGAUAGUGUGGCUGGACACCUGUACUGGACUUCUGCUGCUGGGAUAAUGCACGGACCAUCAUGUGUUUGUAUAACCAUCAAGUGUACCUCAACAUUUCACAUGUGGACGUGAGAACGUAUAAAUCCCUUCUGGCAGAAGGUGUUUACAGAAAUAAGCUAUAUUAUGGGUCAACAUGUGGAAUGUACCCCAAGUUUGGGAUUGUUAACUAUUUUUUAAAGAAGGGACACCUGACCUUUAUUAUAAAGAACUAAAUGUUUUUCUUCUAGUAGUGGCACAAAAUUGGAACAUCUGUGGAUUUCUCACUGGAAACAAUGUAUGGUCUAUUGCUGUAUCAGAAAAAGUAACCAAGAGAUUACAUGCAUAGAAUAAUACAAGUGAUGUAGACAAUUUUGUUGGAACAUGCCAUCCUUCUAUAAAAUACCGUAUUUUUCACCCUAUAGGACGCACUUUUUCCCCUCCAAAAAUGAAGGGGAAAUGUGUGUGCGUCCUAUGGGGCGAAUGCAGGCUUUCGCUGAAGCUAUCCACAAGCCUUGCAAGCCCGGCGGGAGUUCCCGUGGGCUCGCAAGGCUUGCGGGCAGCAGCCUGCAGCCCACAAGCUCGGGGGACAGCGGGGAGGCGCAGCGCGCCUUCCCGCUGUUCCCCGACCUGGUUUGGAGGCUGGUGCUGGGGAGAAGCGCGCUUCUCCCCAGCGCCAGCCCCACAAGCUCGGGGGACAGCGGGGAGGUGAAGCGCCACCCUCCCGCUGUUCCCCGACCUGGUUUGGAUUCCCCAACCUGGUUUUGGGGGGGAAAUAAAGGAAAAAAUUUUUCCCUUUAUUCCCCCCCCCCAAAAAAACUAGGUGCAUCCUAUGGGCCGGUGCGCCCUAUGGGACGAAAAAUACGGUACUUUACUGAUAACUCUGAAGAAUGGCACCUAACGAAAUCACAGAUUGGACUUUGGCAAACUUAACUAGAUUGAUCUGUCCUGGAAAGGGGGGUGGGGGAGUUGGGAUUUUGUUUUUGUAUCUUUUUCUCUUUUUUGUAAAUGUUAUACAGUAUAUAGGAAAUCAAUAAAACUAUAUUUU
rnacentral:lncRNA from 1 species